UCGAACGCAUCCUUCGGGGUGAGUGGCAGACGGGUGAGUAACGCGUGGGAACGUGCCCUUCAGUUCGGGAUAACCCAGGGAAACUUGGGCUAAUACCGGAUACGUGCGAGAGCAGAAAGAUUUAUCGCUGAAGGAUCGGCCCGCGUCUGAUUAGCUGGUUGGUGAGGUAAUGGCUCACCAAGGCGACGAUCAGUAGCUGGUCUGAGAGGAUGAUCAGCCACACUGGGACUGAGACACGGCCCAGACUCCUACGGGAGGCAGCAGUGGGGAAUAUUGGACAAUGGGCGCAAGCCUGAUCCAGCCAUGCCGCGUGAGUGAUGAAGGCCUUAGGGUUGUAAAGCUCUUUCGCACGCGACGAUAAUGACGGUAGCGUGAGAAGAAGCCCCGGCUAACUUCGUGCCAGCAGCCGCGGUAAUACGAAGGGGGCUAGCGUUG
rnacentral:rRNA from 1 species